UACGGGGGGAGCAAGCGUUGUUCGGAUUUACUGGGCGUAAAGGGCGCGUAGGCGGCCACCGCAAGUCGGUUAUGAAAUCUCUGGGCUUAACCCAGAAAGGUCAACCGAUACUGCGGGGCUAGAGUGCAGAAGGGGCAACUGGAAUUCUCGGUGUAGCGGUGAAAUGCGUAGAUAUUGGGAGGAACACCAGUGGCGAAGGCGGCUCACUGGACCGGUACUGACGCUGAUGCGCGAAAGCGUGGGGAGCAAACGGG
rnacentral:rRNA from 1 species